CCGGCCGGUCUGGGCCGCGGGGCCGAGCCGCCGGCCAGGGGAGCCCGGGAAAGCGGGGUGUGGUGGGGGGGAUAGAGAGGUUUGAUGCCGCUCCUCCGCUUCCCGCUCGUUCUCGGGCGCUGCAGAAGGGCCUUUGCGGGGUGACGACCGCUCGCCGCCUCCCGGCGUAGUCGAGCUUCCCUCGCGCACGGCCCGCAGAGCCUUCGUAUGUAAUUCACCGCUGUGCCACUCACUGUACGUGGGCCCAGCAGAAGCUGUCAGGGGAGCCGGCAGGAGACGAGGGUCGGGUGUGAACGGGAACCAAAGGCACGGAGCUGCCGCAGCGCGCUGGGGGACGAAGUGCCCCCCCCGCCAAGGACGGCCGUCCCUUCGUCCUGCCCGUGCGCGGCGGCUCCGGGCCGCGUGUGGGAGCCCUCAGGAGUGGGGAACCGGCACCCGUCAAUAACGCCCCAAAGAGCCCCGAUGCCUUCAGGUUUGCCUCACUGUGGGUGCCCCAGCCCUGGAGGCGCUCAAGGCCAGCUUGGAUGUGGCGCUGGGCAGCCUGAGCUGGUGGGUGGCAGCCCUGCGUGUGGCAAGAGGGUUGCAGCUUAACAUCCCGUCCAACCUAAGGUGCAGAUCCAGUCUGUGGCAAGGUGAGAGCUCACCCUGCAAACAUCCACCUAAUUGUGCUUACGGCCAGCCUCGACCGCAACACAAAGCGCUGAUUUCCUCUAGUUUGCUGGAUGCUUUGGAAACCCGAGGACGGCGAGGAAGCCGAGUCAACCCACAGCCGUUCAGAUCGCAGCGGGCUUUUAACACUGCGUGAUUCUGGUGGGUGCUUAAGGGAAACGGAUCCGGGAGCAGCCCCUGACACCGGCCGCCUCCAUCAGGUUUCAAGCCUCUGCAAGAUCCUGACUGCUAGGGAACAAAGGCUGGUAUGCGGUUCCCUCAAAGGUCAGUCAUUAACCUGCCCCAACAACAGUUUUAGGAAGAUCAAGGCAAUGAAGAAAAAAAAAUAUACAAGAAAAAGCACUUUCACUUCGGAAUGAAUUGUUGAAAGUGCCCUUAUACAUUCAGUUUUAUUCCCUUUCAGCUCCGCACUUUUUAGUUCCUGCACGUAUUUAUUUCUCAUCAGGAAUAAUGGCAAGAUUUGCUCUCCCAGAGAUUUGACCUUAAGUUUAUUCUACCCACAACACUAUAGACCAUUUCAUCAAUUAUGAAUGUACCCAUGUGUAUAGAGGAACUGGUAAGCCAGCUCAGUAAUACUACCUUGUUCUGGAGACUUACCCUUAUAAAUAAAUUAGGGGCAUAUCUUUAUGAAAAACCAAAGACAGAGAGAAAGAAAGACUGAAAGCAAGUAAGACAGAAAGCAAGAAAGGAAGGAAGGGAGAAAGAAAGGGAGAAAGAAAGAAAGGAAGGAAGGAAAAUCUAGAAAGCCACAUUUUUUUUUAAGAUAAAAGGGCAGUGGCUAGCAUCAAAAGUGUUUUCUCUGUGAUUUGUAUUUUGAAUGUCUGUGUGUCUAUAUAAAGAGAUAAAAUGCUGGAUAUGCAGUAGCCAGACUAUCAAUAAGACAGUUAUUUCCAUAAGUUAUUGAUGACCCUUUAGCUCACAAGUGACAGGCCAAAGUAGAGCCAUGAGCAACUUAUGAAAGGUCAUCAAUAACAACUGAAAAUAAAUGUUGUGUCCAGUGCAUGCCCACUGUGUGUCCUGUUUAUACAAUGCCAGUGUAAGUUUCUUGUGGUGUAGUUUUUAAUAAGCUGUAACAACCUUAGUCCCUGCCUGAAGCAGCGAGGUUUUCCGGCAGCAGAGGAAGGAGGAGGUGCACACAUUCCCAUGAGGCUGCUCACACUCCUCAUGAGUACUUUUUGUCAGAUGCAAAGGUAAAAGCUUGCAUCUCUCAGCACACCAGGAUGAAACAGGACCCUGGGGAGUGAAAGGAGAGACCACGCGCAUCACUAAAACAUUAAACACUGUGGACAAUCCUGGUGCUGCAGUGUAAGACUGCUCAGAAGUAAGAAGAUACAGAGGAGUCAGGGAGAGGAAAAAGGAGAAGCUGAGAUGCAGGGUUGUAAAUAAAUCAUACCCUGUGUUAAGAUUGCAAAUACAUAAUAUGCUAUUAAGGUAUUUCUAAUAGUAAUCUGUAUCAUGCUGCAAGGAGGAUUGAUGCACUGUGUGUGGUAAGAACAUUCUGGAGGCAAAAGAAAGAUCUUUCUGUCUACCUGGAGUCUUACUCCCCAUGGAAAGGCUGCAAUGGACACCGGAUGCGGUCCAGUGGGGAACAAACACUUAGUUUUACCUGCUUGUUGGCAGAUUUUGCUUUCAGUAACCAUCAUCCUGAAACUCACUGAUG
ensembl:lncRNA